rnacentral:lncRNA from 1 species
GCUGAUUAUUCUCAUAAAUUCAUGAUGUGAAUGAUGUUUAUGUUAAAUUCAUAGUUGUUUUCAUUAUACUUUUCAUUUAUACUGAAUCUAGUGAUAUGUCAUAAAUAUUUGUGAUGUUGUGGAAGGAUAUUUACAUCAGAUAGCGUUCAAGUGUAGGUGGCGCGAAAGAAUAAGCGUUUAUGUUGUUACGACGGUAGGAUAAAUCAGAAAGCGAUUUGUGACGACAGUGUACGUUAGGGGUACUAUGUUCGUUCUUCCAAGUCAAGUUCGACAAGGAGGCAUGGAAUUUCAUUUGACGUACUACCAUGUAUGAGUGAUGCCGAGUGAGGUCUCCAGAGGGUGAUUGGUGGAUGUACCCUUGUUUUCUCUUGGCCUAUAGUAGGGGGUUUGUUUUCCCUGUUUUGCAUGAUCCACCGGCUGUCAAUAAAUGGCUGACCCACCCCUACUUCUUGUCUAUGGUUCUAUGGUUUUCCUGACUGAGUACCCAACCCCCAACCCAUACUACCACCCAAGCCCAGUUUACUACAGU